rnacentral:rRNA from 1 species
CAAUAGCGUAUAUUAAAGCUGUUGCGGUUAAAAAGCUCGUAGUUGGAUUUCUGUCAAGGACAACUGGUCCGCCCUCCGGGUGAGCACAUAGUUUGGUCUUGACAUCUUGCUGGAAGCUGUUGCUGCACUUGGCUGUGUGGCGCAGUGUUCAGCACUUUCACUUUGAGGAAAUUGGAGUGUUUCAAGCAGGCACAUGCCUUUGGACACAGUAGCAUGGAAUAAUUAGAUUGGGCUUUUGCUCCAAUUUGUCGGUUUCUGGAGCUGAGGUGAGUGUUAAUGGGGAUUGUUGGGGGCAUCCGAAUUUAGCCGUCAGAGGUGAAAUUCUUGGAUCUGCUAAAGACGGACAACUGCGAAAGCGUUUGCCCAGGAUGUUUUCAUUGA